rnacentral:rRNA from 1 species
AUUGAACGCUGGCGGCAGGCCUAACACAUGCAAGUCGAGCGGAUGAAGGGAGCUUGCUCCUGGAUUCAGCGGCGGACGGGUGAGUAAUGCCUAGGAAUCUGCCUGGUAGUGGGGGAUAACGUCCGGAAACGGGCGCUAAUACCGCAUACGUCCUGAGGGAGAAAGGGGGGGAUCUUCGGACCUCACGCUAUCAGAUGAGCCUAGGUCGGAUUAGCUAGUUGGUGGGGUAAAGGCCUACCAAGGCGACGAUCCGUAACUGGUCUGAGAGGAUGAUCAGUCACACUGGAACUGAGACACGGUCCAGACUCCUACGGGAGGCAGCAGUGGGGAAUAUUGGACAAUGGGCGAAAGCCUGAUCCAGCCAUGCCGCGUGUGUGAAGAAGGUCUUCGGAUUGUAAAGCACUUUAAGUUGGGAGGAAGGGCAGUAAGUUAAUACCUUACUGUUUUGACGUUACCAACAGAAUAAGCACCGGCUAACUUCGUG